rnacentral:rRNA from 1 species
GACGAACGCUGGCGGCGUGCUUAACACAUGCAAGUCGAGCGAGGCCCAUCUUCGGGUGGUGCACUAGCGGCGACCGGGUGAGUAACACGUGGGCUACCUGCCCUCAGCUCUAGGAUCAAUCCAAGAAACUGGUGCUAAUACCGGAUGUGACCGCUGACCGCAUGGUCCGGCGGUGGAAAGAUUCAUCGGCUGAGGAUGGGCCCGGGGCCAAUCAGCUGGUUGGUGGGGUAAUGGCCCACCAAGGCGACGACGGGUAGCCGGCCUGGGAGGUGGACCGGCCACACUGGGACUGAGGCACGGCCCAGACUCCUACGGGAGGCAGCAGUGGGGAAUAUUGCGCAAUGGGCGAAAGCCUGACGCAGCGACGCCGCGUGAGGAAUGACGGCCUUCGGGUUGUAAACCUCUUUCAGUAGGGACGAAGCGCAGGUGACGGUACCUACAGAAGAAGCACCGGCCAACUACGUGCCAGCAGCCGCCGUAACAC